rnacentral:lncRNA from 1 species
GAAACUCGUCAGAAAAUGAAAAGCUUCAAUAAAAGCACUCAUCAUAUUCCGAUGUUUGGCUCUGAUAGUAUUAUUUUGGAUAGAACGCCAAGUAGGGAGAAAUCUGACAAGAAAGCAACUAAAAUUGUGGAAAUCGUGGACAUAAGAUGUGGUAGGCCAGAUAGAACUUGGGCUAACCCUAUAACAAGCUAGUAAACUCAAGAAGCUAGGUUUUUCAAAGCUACCUGAGAGCACUGUCUAAGCUUGCAACUUCUUGUCCUCAGAUUUCAGGUUUCUAUAACUGAAUCCUGAAAUCCUAACUGGCCGACUGCUAUCAGACACUUCCACCACCGAACAAAUUCUCGGUAGACGCCUGCUCCCUCCUUUCAGUUUCUUUUUCGGGGUUGUCAGUGCAGAUCCAAGAGUGGUUUUGGGUUGAUUACCAGUAGAAGCCAUGGCAGUAAUACGGGGCUGAGGCUUCUGCGAGCUUCCAUGGCUUAAUAUUUUUAAAUCAUUUUAAGGUGUUAAUAUGAAAAAUAAUUUUUUUAAAAUAAAAAAAUAUAUUAUUUUGAUGUCUUUUAAAAUAAAAAAACACUUUAAAAAACAACUAAUUUAUUCAAAAAACAUUUUAUAAAGUGGUUAUUAUGGUUUCAAAUAAAUUAUGGAUACAUGAUGUUUUUAGAAAAAUAUAUAUAAUUUUUGUUUUUUAUUUUGAAAAAAAAAAUUAUUAGCUUAUUUUUCUUUUUUAAUCUUACAUUUUUUUUAGUUUUUUUAUUUAAAAGAUUGUAAUAAAUUUUUGACAAGUGAGAUUUUGAUAAAAUAAAAAAUAAAAAAUUAAUUUGAAUUUUUCUUAUAAUUAUAAUAUUUUUAAUCUUUAAAAGUAAUUUUAAUUUGUAAUAAACUCCAGCUGCGUCAACUAUUCUCUAAUCAAAUUAUCAAAUUAAUAAAAAGGAAAGCAAUGGCUUCCAGUUUUGACAUCCAAGUUGGGCUUCUAUUUUUGACUGGAGAAGUUGAAAUGGGCCUAGCAUUGGACGUCGCUUGUUCGUGAUUAAAGACUUCUAAAGCUACGCUCCUUUAGAACUUUGUUGGGCCGAAGAUUGUUUUUUCCUUUUCUUUUUAUUUAUAUAUAAGAUUUUUUAUUUGCUUGUUUAUUUCUGGCAAUUAGAUGCAUAUAAUUAUGGUAGCCGGAAUUUUUCUUGGAGGUGUUGCAAAGUAUGAAGAGAAUAGUUGUUAGAUUUUAUUUGAAGAUUGAUUUGAAAAAUAUAUUUGGUUUAUUAGGUUAUUGAAUAGAUCACCGAAUCAAUUUAAUUAGGAUUGAUAAUUUUUAUCAAAAACAUCUCGGAUUUUUUUUUUCUAGUGUUAAUAUGAUUGAUCGGGUUAAUAACCUAGCAUUGUUAGCUAUAGAAAUAAUAAUGAGUAUCCAUAUGUCAAGUUCUACUAUAUUUAUAAUCUACAUAUUAUUUAAUAUUUAAGAAAUUUAGAUAUUUAUAUCAUAUUAAUUUGGUUUCAGACAUUCAUAUGAGUAUCAACUAUUUGAGUAUUAUUUAUUAUUCAAUAUAAAAUAAAAUAAUAAUAAUAAUAUAUUUUUAUAUUUUAAUUCAAAUCGGCUUGAGUCAAAAAAAAUUAUUUAUAUCAUUUUUUUUUUUUCAUUGCUUCAGUCCAUGACAACGACACGGUAGCUAGCUAUUUGCUAUUGCUAAUCUACAGUUCACAAGAUGUUGCUGUCUGGUCUUUACCGCAGGAGUCAGAUUUCACUGCGACAUGAUUGGUUGCUCUUCCUUUUGACCAGUCUCUGACAUAAACGUAGACAAAGACACAAAAACACUCCUCGUAAAUAGUUUAGAGUUCAUUAAAGUUUGACCUUGGAUUAGAUAUCUCCUUGGAAUGCGACAUAAUCCCACGUGAUGAUUCUUAAAUCAACCUAAAAAUAGCAUGAACUUUUAAUGCAAGGAUCCCCAGUUUCUAUCCACAAUUCCGGGGUUCGUUUCAAGGUCAGAUUAUUGAUUGUUUGUGUCAUCUUUGAAUCUGGCUGGCCUAAAAAAUCUUAGUUUCACAGGAUUGCCUUGCUUUUGAUCUUGGGUAUGAUCAUUUUUUUUUAUCUCCAUCUCCUAUGAUGCAUUUGAUUGUUUGCGGUUUGACGUGUAGGUUGUUGGGGUUCUUUUGUUUCAUUUGGGUUAUCUUGAUGAUAUUGAUAGUUUCUGAAAUCUGGAUAAAUCUAUCUAUCUGAUAUUGCGGUUCGUUUUGCUUUCUGCAUUUUACAUACAAAUAUACGUUUAAUAUCUAUUGUUGAUCAUGUUUGAUCCCUACCAUUUCCAGAUCCUAAUUGAGCAUGUUAAUAGGAACUUUGAUGAACUUAUUACCAUUGUUGCAGGUUGCUGGAUCCUUACUCAUUUUUGUCCAAGCUCAUGUUUGAUGAAUGCUAUCAGCUGCUAGAUUAUACCUCCUGCUUUCUUGGGAGCCAAAUAAACCAUUUCAGUUUCUUCCUUUUAACUCUUUUGGGAAGACAUUCGCUAAUCUGAUUUGUAGCUAUUCAGUUCUUCUUGUUAAUUCCUGUCUUGCAAUCAAAAACACAUCACUCUCAUCGUUGGGAUGAUAUGACGCUGCAGAGCAUUCUGCAUUUAAAUCUGCCAUCUAGUUUACUAAAGAUUUUGUUGUUUCUGUGUGUGUGUGUGUGUUUUAGCUCUCCACUUGUUGGCAUGGUCUCAAAACCAGAACUCUAGUGCUAAAAAUAUAUGCAGAUUCCUUCAACUAAGAAGUAUCACGUACAUGCAGGGUGUCUAUUGCAUAACAGGCUUGUGAAACUCUUUGGCUGCAAUUAUCCCAACAAGCUCUAAAGGCUAAUGUCAAAACACUAGUAGAUAGAGCUCAUACUUCUGGUUGAACAGAUAAAGAAACAUGGUUCAGAAACUAGAAGCUAUGAAGGGACAUGGAGGAUCUACCAGGGUGGGUACCACCGGAACAAUUGGUGCUCUGAUAACAAGGGAGCUGGAAUCAAUUAAACCCUCCCCACAAGCAUCAGCAUCUGUUCAAGCUAAGCCUGGAACUAUUCUUGUUUCGGUUCCCUGCAGUGCAACUACUCCUAGAAAACUACAAGCAAGAAAAUCAUUAGAUGAAGCAAGCAGCAGCGGCCAGAAUCGCAGAAGCCCUGAAACUCGUCAGAAAAUGAAAAGCUUCAAUAAAAGCACUCAUCAUAUUCCGAUGUUUGGCUCUGAUAGUAUUAUUUUGGAUAGAACACCAAGUAGGGAGAAAUCUGACAAGAAAGCAACUAAAAAUGUGGAAAUGGUGGACAUAAGAUGUGGUAGUCCAGAUAGAACUUGGGCUAACCCUAUAACAAGUAAACUCAAGAAGCUAGGUUUUUCAAAGCUACCUGAGAGCACUGUCUAAGCUUGCAACUUCUUGUCCUCAGAUUUCAGGUUUCUAUAACUGAAUCCUGAAAUCCUAACUGGCCGACUGCUAUCAGACACUUCCACCACCGAACAAAU